UGCAGUCGAACGGAAAGGCCCUUCGGGGUACUCGAGUGGCGAACGGGUGAGUAACACGUGGGUGAUCUGCCCUGCACUUUGGGAUAAGCCUGGGAAACUGGGUCUAAUACCGAAUAUGACCGCAUGCUUCAUGGUGUGUGGUGGAAAGCUUUUGCGGUGUGGGAUGGGCCCGCGGCCUAUCAGCUUGUUGGUGGGGUAAUGGCCUACCAAGGCGACGACGGGUAGCCGGCCUGAGAGGGUGACCGGCCACACUGGGACUGAGAUACGGCCCAGACUCCUACGGGAGGCAGCAGUGGGGAAUAUUGCACAAUGGGCGCAAGCCUGAUGCAGCGACGCCGCGUGAGGGAUGACGGCCUUCGGGUUGUAAACCUCUUUCAAUAGGGACGAAGCGCAAGUGACGGUACCUAUAGAAGAAGGACCGGCCAACUACGUGCCAGCAGCCGCGGUAAUACGUAGGGUCCGAGCGUUGUCCGGAAUUACUGGGCGUAAAGAGCUCGUAGGUGGUUUGUCGCGUUGUUCGUGAAAACUCACAGCUUAACUGUGGGCGUGCGGGCGAUACGGGCAGACUAGAGUACUGCAGGGGAGACUGGAAUUCCUGGUGUAGCGGUGGAAUGCGCAGAUAUCAGGAGGAACACCGGUGGCGAAGGCGGGUCUCUGGGCAGUAACUGACGCUGAGGAGCGAAAGCGUGGGGAGCGAACAGGAUUAGAUACCCUGGUAGUCCACGCCGUAAACGGUGGGUACUAGGUGUGGGUUCCUUCCUUGGGAUCCGUGCCGUAGCUAACGCAUUAAGUACCCCGCCUGGGGAGUACGGCCGCAAGGCUAAAACUCAAAGAAAUUGACGGGGGCCCGCACAAGCGGCGGAGCAUGUGGAUUAAUUCGAUGCAACGCGAAGAACCUUACCUGGGUUUGACAUGCACA
rnacentral:rRNA from 1 species